rnacentral:ribozyme from 1 species
UGUCCAGCAACUCCUAUCCCUACCUCCUCGCGGUACCGGCCAAAAACUAUGAGCAACCUUAGGGAAGAUCGGGUAACCAACCCCGGUGGGAACUUUGGUCGUAGGCUGACAGGGAAGG